AUCGAUGGGGUGGAUGCACAUUAAUCCAGAUCGGAUUAAGUUGUUUUUUUAUUCUUUACUCUUUGUUUACGACGGUUAGUAAUCAUUAGCUAAGUAUCUUGUAGAGAGUGUGUGACAUUUUUUUUCCAGUCACAAAUAGGAGACUGACGGACAUUAAUUUUUUUUAUCACGAUGACAGAACACGUGAGAGAUGGGAGCUCAUGUCUCUGUCGGACACGCUGUAACACGCAAGUAUCUUCAGAUAAUACGUUAUCUAUCCAGACAAAAAUGUACUUCGCUACAUUUUAAAUCACAUUUGUUACUGAGUAAAAAAAGGAAGUUGAUAAAGGCGCGCCACGUACACCCUACAGAUUGAUUGAUGGGUGUGGAACGCGCUAAACUCUCAUGGAUACGGACGAGGCAGGCGGCAGCUGAUGCAGACACUCAAUUAAAUUCUUAUGAAACAACCCCCAGGCCAUAUUCAAGCGACCACUUUGGAUCUUAAAAAACUCGACAUCAAACUGGCGCAAGCAUGUUCAGUUUUUCUCCGUCAAUGGCGUCUCCUGAUUUCUGCACGAAGACUGCCUUCGUGCCACAUGUGAAGAGUGGGGUUCUAUGUCAGCAGAAGAACAUGCAUGUGCUAUGUGCUGAUAUGAGGAACCUACGUUAGAUUCAGACCCAGUGCCACACAGUGACCACAUAGAGGACUCACCACAUGUGUAGUACUCCACUCUUUGUGCAAUUCUUUGCCUACAUUUUACAGUAUUAUCUGUAAAUGAACCACUGAUGAAGAGUAAAAUUCUAAAAUGCCAAACAAGGUUUUGUCAGCCAAAUCUGCAAUAGUAUUAUGAAAGUAAUGUUACAAAGACACAUGUUAAACAAAUCAGUACUGAUGUAAUGUAAUGCUUUUUAUAUUCAUAUUACUCACACAUUGCUAUUUACAAUUACUGGCAUAUACAGUUACUGGCAUAUACAGUUAAUCAUUUAAAAAGCUGUUGAUUGGAGAGGAGCAAUCUUCUGUUUUUGUUCCAGAGAUAUGUACGAUAUCAUUUUUAAGUUUUAAGUACCUGAGUUAUGGUCGGGGAAUUUAUGCUAAGCCAGUAACUUACUCUGAAAUUAUUUAACAUACUAUAUAUGGUGUUCUGUUUAUAAUUAAUAACAAGACACUUGCAUACAAGUUAAAAUGUACAUUUAUUUACAAAAUAUUGGCUACAUUCACCAUGGGGAAAAUGGCUGAGGUAAAACAAAGCAUUUGGAGAAAAGGAUAGAAUCAGAGGAAGAGCUGUGACAGAACUCAGUGUGAUGACUUCCUUUGUUAAAACGAAACAUUGUUCAUCAAACGUCAUAUGAAGUAUAAAAAUCCUGGACAUUUUUCAUGCCAAAAAUGUGUGUAGAAAGUUCAAAUCCAGCAGUUCAAACACUACUGGAUUUGCUCUUUCAAACACUCUGCAAUGUUUUUUAAAAAUAUAUCAUUUCCCAAAGGGGCUAAAUGAACUUGAUCACGCAAAAAAUGUCCAGGAUCUUUAUGCUGUAUCUGACGAUGAUGCACAAUGCCUCCACCAAUAGACAAAACAAAGGAAGCCAUCACACUGUUUAUAAAGCGCCGGGCUUUGUCCAUUUUUGGGGCGGGUUCAGACCUCCACUGGCAUCGCUGUGUAAUUGAAGAAAAGAUGAUCUUCAUCUUUGGGAACUUCCUGUGGAGGUCUUGCAAGUCCUGCUUGAUUCUUGCAACAAGCUCAACACUCCUGAUGUUCCCCAGGUCAUUUCCCCCACAAUGAAUCAAGAGGACAUCUGGCACAGCUCUUCCUCCAAGGCACUGAUAGAAGAAGGGGAGGGUGUUUCUCCAAACCAUCCCUCCCCAGCCAAACCACCGGACAUGGGCAUCCAGCCCAAGGUUGGUCCCAACAGUCUCCCUCGCGCGUUUUUCCCCACGGUGAAUGUAGCUGUCACCAAUUAUGUAUAUUCUGGGUCCUGUUGAAUUGUAAAGUAAUAAUAAAUA